rnacentral:rRNA from 1 species
UACGUAGGUCCCGAGCGUUGUCCGGAUUUAUUGGGCGCAAAGCGAGCGCAGGUGGUUUAUUAAGUCUGGUGUAAAAGGCAGUGGCUCAACCAUUGUAUGCAUUGGAAACUGGUAGACUUGAGUGCAGGAGAGGAGAGUGGAAUUCCAUGUGUAGCGGUGAAGUGCGUAGAUAUAUGGAGGAACACCGGUGGCGAAAGCGGCUCUCUGGCCUGUAACUGACACUGAGGCUCGAAAGCGUGGGGAGCAAACAGG